AUUGAACGCUGGCGGAAUGCUUUACACAUGCAAGUCGAACGGCAGCACGGGGGCAACCCUGGUGGCGAGUGGCGAACGGGUGAGUAAUACAUCGGAACGUGCCCAGUCGUGGGGGAUAACGUAGCGAAAGCUACGCUAAUACCGCAUACGAUCUACGGAUGAAAGCGGGGGAUCGCAAGACCUCGCGCGAUUGGAGCGGCCGAUGGCAGAUUAGGUAGUUGGUGGGGUAAAGGCUCACCAAGCCGACGAUCUGUAGCUGGUCUGAGAGGACGACCAGCCACACUGGGACUGAGACACGGCCCAGACUCCUACGGGAGGCAGCAGUGGGGAAUUUUGGACAAUGGGCGCAAGCCUGAUCCAGCCAUUCCGCGUGCAGGAUG
rnacentral:rRNA from 1 species